CGCGUAGGCGGCCACCGCAAGUCGACUGUGAAAUCUCCGGGCUUAACCCGGAACGGUCAGCCGAUACUGCGGGGCUAGAGUGCAGAAGGGGCAACUGGAAUUCUCGGUGUAGCGGUGAAAUGCGUAGAUAUCGAGAGGAACACCUGCGGCGAAGGCGGGUUGCUGGGCUGACACUGACGCUGAGGCGCGAAAGCUAGGGGAGCGAACG
rnacentral:rRNA from 1 species